AGUGAACGCUGGCGGUAGGCCUAACACAUGCAAGUCGAACGGCAGCACAGUAAGAGCUUGCUCUUACGGGUGGCGAGUGGCGGACGGGUGAGGAAUACAUCGGAAUCUACUUUUUCGUGGGGGAUAACGUAGGGAAACUUACGCUAAUACCGCAUACGACCUACGGGUGAAAGCAGUGGAUCUUCGGACCUUGCGCGAUUGAAUGAGCCGAUGUCGGAUUAGCUAGUUGGCGGGGUAAAGGCCCACCAAGGCGACGAUCCGUAGCUGGUCUGAGAGGAUGAUCAGCCACACUGGAACUGAGACACGGUCCAGACUCCUACGGGAGGCAGCAGUGGGGAAUAUUGGACAAAGGGCGCAAGCCUGAUCCAGCCAUACCGCGUGGGUGAAGAAGGCCUUCGGGUUGUAAAGCCCUUUUGUUGGGAAAGAAAAGCAGUAGGUUAAUACCCCGCUGUUCUGACGGUACCCAAAGAAUAAGCACCGGCUAACUUCGUG
rnacentral:rRNA from 1 species